AUUGAACGCUGGCGGCAGGCUUAACACAUGCAAGUCGAACGAGUGGCGGACGGGUGAGUAAUGCUUGGGAAUCUGGCUUAUGGAGGGGGAUAACGACGGGAAACUGUCGCUAAUACCGCGUACCAUAGGAUGAGCCCAAGUGGGAUUAGGUAGUUGGUGGGGUAAUGGCCUACCAAGGCGACGAUCAGUAGCGGGUCUGAGAGGAUGAUCCGCCACACUGGGACUGAGAAACGGCCCAGACUCCUACGGGAGGCAGCAGUGGGGAAUUUUGGACAAUGGGCGCAAGCCUGAUCCAGCCAUGCCGCGUGUCUGAAGAAGGCCUUCGGGUUGUAAAGGACUUUUGUUAGGGAAGCGGUACCUAAAGAAUAAGCACCGGCUAACUACGUGCCAGCAGCCGCGGUAAUUC
rnacentral:rRNA from 1 species